rnacentral:lncRNA from 1 species
AUUACAAAAAACAUGUUGCACUAAGGCCUACAAAGACUAGGAAAAAUCUGCCUGCUAUGGCAAAGCUGCUGAUCAGACAUUCGCAUCUUCCCAUUCAGCGUCUGUUUUUCACAUUAUUCAAUAUUCAUAGGUGGUGAGUGUAUAAAUUUAUAAUUCAAUAAUGGAUUUUCAUCAUCUGUCAUGUUUGCUGAUGAUGUAUUUUCUUAUUAAUGACACCAUAUUCUUAAAAAAAGCAUAUACUUUACUACAGCAAGAUGUUUAAAAGAGAGAAAUUUUUAAGAGGAGCAUAACUAAGAGAUGGUAUGUAGAUUAUUGCAUAGAUC